rnacentral:snRNA from 1 species
UACUGCUUCGGCAGUACAUAUACUAAAAUUGGAACGAUACAGAAAGAUUAGCAUGGCCCCUGUGCAAGGAUGACAUGCAAAUUCGUGAAGCGUUCCAUAUUUAU